UGUCAAAAGCAGGAAACUUCUCUCGGUCCACUUCUGAUCUUCAAACAGGAACUUUAGAUGCAGUGGGUACUUCACAGAACAAAAGGGUCAGAGGCUAAGAAUUUUAUCUUCAAGAGAAGUAGAUGAAGUGGUACAUUUAUGCACCAAGAAUAAAUUUCUUCUGUAAUGGACAAUUUUCAAAAUCAGGCAGAUGAAGCCAUUGGGAUAGAGAAAUCUGAAAGUAGCCUCACUUCUUCCUAUUGAGGUUAAGAGAGCGUUCGAUGCUCCCUGAUGAGGUGAGAUUGGAAUCUCUUUCCACUUCCCAGGAUUCUUACAGUACCUGUGUACGAGUCAGUUCUAGAAAAGAACAAACAAAACAGUCACUUACUUACCUUGGAAGGUAUCCAAAUAGGAAGUCAAUAAGGCAGUCUGCAUGAUUUGGGAAAUAUAAAGUCAUCAAAUGAGCUCAAAAAGAACAAGCUUAAUCAAGAUGGAGAAUGACGUAUGUGAAAAGAAACUGGAAAUAGGAGUACAAAAUUGGUGAACUCAAGAGAAUUGAGCAGCUGCCAUCAGCGACUUUCAUCUCCAUGGGGCCUGCUAGGUAUUUGCAGGCAAAACAAUUGUUCAACUUUAGUCAACUAUGUUGCUGGGGCUGAUGUCCAGGGAAGGAGGUGUCUCAUCUUUCUCAGAGCAUCUCCCAGCAUCAUCACCAGCCAUCAAAAAAAGUACGGUGACUACAUAAAUGAGGGUAGCCAUUAGGAUGAACUAUUUCAGAGAGCAAUGCCUUGUGGAAAGAACUGUUUGCAUUAUACAUGGCCUUACACUCAGUUCUCUCCCCAGACCACAAAGGGAAGAUGGAUAUUCCUGGUCAGAUGAACAGUUUAUGAGGUUCUGUACUAUAAAGAGACAUCUUCAGGGCCUAGCAGUGGGAACAUGCCCAACUUCCACAGAUAUAUAAAUCAGAUUUGAGAAGCAAACGACACAUUCUGGAUACGUAAUGUGACAUCCAUCUGGGAGCACAGUGUUGAGGAUCAAGGAAACUUUUUAAGGCCCAGUGGUAAUAACUGAAGAAGAGUGUGGACUCAAAGAAAAGGGAAUGAUGCCACGAAAGAAGAGCAGCCUGUAUGUUGGACAACAAGAACUACUGAGGUUCAGGACAAGAUUUAAAUAGCUGGGCUACCACUAUACAAGAUUAUUUAUCAGGUGGGAGGCAGAAGAAAUAGACAAACUGGUGAGAAAAGAUGUAACAAGAACCUUUUCUGCACACCAUCAGCUGUAGUGCUCCAUGUCAAGAUCCCAGCAAUCCUACUCAAAAGAAGACAUUCACUUGCUAGCUCGAGUGUUAGCUCAAAAUCUGUGUAGUGUCCUGUGCUGGUAGACUUACCUCUGUCACAUGGG
rnacentral:lncRNA from 1 species